UUACGUGUAUUAAUCUUGGCUGUCCCCAUACUUGACACCUCAUCCACAUCAACUACACCAACUUGAAUACAGAGAGACAGGCUGAUGUCUAGAGAUUAGAGUCUGAGAAAGACAGAGCGAGCCGUGAGGGAGUGGUGGAGGCGCGUAGCCAUGGAGGAGCAAGGCGGCGCCAACUGAUUCCGGUGCGUCAACAACCCCAACCAACAAAACAACGACUGAGAGAGAGUUGUGAGGGAGUGGCGGCUGAACACCGCCCCCGGUGGCGGAGCGAUGGAGGAGCACGACAGCGCCACCUGAUUCCAGGGUGUCAACGACCCCAACCACGGAACAACGGUUGAGGGUUUCAGAGAGAGAAAGAGGCUGUGUACACGGUGGCCAUGUCGACGGUUAGCAUUCCGACCAGAUUUCGAUCUAAAGAGCAGUACCAGCAAGGAGAACCAGGUGAAGAUCCGGUGAGCAGAUUGAAGCCUGUACGAGAGCUCUUCAAGUGAAUCGGCAACACUCCAGGCCUACUCUACAUAUAAGAAACAGUGAAGCGGAGUAGGGCACAGUUGGAAUAGGGCUGGUUAUGUCAAAUUGGUGGCUACUUGUGAAAUUCCGGUUACACCCGUUUGGAACGCCAGUGUCCACAGGUCAGAGGUAAAGCAUGGUGAUUGGCUUGGUGAAGAUUUGAAGUUCUUGAGGUCUGUCUCGGUAAUGGUUGAUGAGAGUCAAGAAUAGGUCAAAUCGGUCAACAUAGAAACUCAGGUCAGAACCCAGUCAAACGAUGGAAGUUCCAGUGGCCACUUCUAUAUUUUGAUAUUUGGCUUUUUAACAUAGGUUUGGGUUGCAGUUGCCUUUAAAACCUUUUGUAUCUUCAAAUGCUUAUAAACAAUCACUUAGAGUUUUUGAAAUGUGAAUUGUCAUGUUUCCUACAGUAUUUUGCUGCUUAAUAUGUUUAUAAUCAUGGUUUUAAAAGACCUAUGUAUAUGGAAUAUAUUAGUUUAUUGUUGUAAUCAGAGUUUUAGAAAAUUAAGUAAAAACUUGAAACCUUUUUUUACCAUUCCCUGCUGAUUACUAAUCCUACAUCUUCAUACUUGCGUGUACUUUUUAUUAUUAGACAAAAAAAUGCUUGAUUCAUGUUUAAUAAUGCUUCCCUGCCUUUAGUAACGAUGCAUAGGUUUUUUUACUCAUGAUCUUGAAUCUCUUAUCAUAUUUGUAAUUAAUGGUUCUUCUUGUGAAACUUAGCAUUACAGGUCACUUGAUAUGACAUUUUUGCUUUAUAAUAGAUUAUAUGCUCUACCCUUUGUACAUAUUCAGCUUCAUAUUAAGCACUAUCAGGUAUAAUGAUAUUGCUUUGUUUGGUCUUACGGUCACUGAAAAAGAUGGGCCAACUAAUGUAGCUCCUCCAUCUACCCAAAAGGAACCUUCUACUUACCUUGGGCUGUAGUAUUAUAUGUAAAUCGCGCAACGCUCGACUGGGGAAUGACCCUAGUUUGACUAAAGCAAAAACGUAUAAUAC